rnacentral:siRNA from 1 species
CCCUGGGAUUGGCUUUGGG